GCGGUUGCGGCGGAGCUUCACUCCAACCCCUGUGACAUACCACUUGUUGCCUCGGCGGAUCAGCCCGCUCCCGGUAAAACGGGACGGCCCGCCAGAGGACCCCUAAACUCUGUUUCUAUAUGUAACUUCUGAGUAAAACCAUAAAUAAAUCAAAACUUUCAACAACGGAUCUCUUGGUUCUGGCAUCGAUGAAGAACGCAGCAAAAUGCGAUAAGUAAUGUGAAUUGCAGAAUUCAGUGAAUCAUCGAAUCUUUGAACGCACAUUGCGCCCGCCAGUAUUCUGGCGGGCAUGCCUGUUCGAGCGUCAUUUCAACCCUCAAGCACAGCUUGGUGUUGGGACUCGCGUUAAUUCGCGUUCCCCAAAUUGAUUGGCGGUCACGUCGAGCUUCCAUAGCGUAGUAGUAAAACCCUCGUUACUGGUAAUCGUCGCGGCCACGCCGUUAAACCCCAACUUCUGAAUGUUGACCUCGGAUCAGGUAGGAAUACCCGCUGAACUUAAGCAUAUCAAAAGCCGGGAGGGAA
rnacentral:rRNA from 1 species